GAUGAACGCUGGCGGCGUGCCUAAUACAUGCAAGUCGAGCGAACAGACGAGGAGCUUGCUCCUCUGACGUUAGCGGCGGACGGGUGAGUAACACGUGGAUAACCUACCUAUAAGACUGGGAUAACUUCGGGAAACCGGAGCUAAUACCGGAUAAUAUAUUGAACCGCAUGGUUCAAUAGUGAAAGACGGUUUUGCUGUCACUUGUAGAUGGAUCCGCGCCGCAUUAGCUAGUUGGUAAGGUAACGGCUUACCAAGGCGACGAUGCGUAGCCGACCUGAGAGGGUGAUCGGCCACACUGGAACUGAGACACGGUCCAGACUCCUACGGGAGGCAGCAGUAGGGAAUCUUCCGCAAUGGGCGAAAGCCUGACGGAGCAACGCCGCGUGAGUGAUGAAGGUCUUCGGAUCGUAAAACUCUGUUAUUAGGGAAGAACAAAUGUGUAAGUAACUAUGCACGUCUUGACGGUACCUAAUCAGAAAGCCACGGCUAACUACGUG
rnacentral:rRNA from 1 species